rnacentral:rRNA from 1 species
AUUGAACGCUGGCGGCAGGCCUAACACAUGCAAGUCGAACGAGUGGCGGACGGGUGAGGAAUACCUCGGAAUCUGCUCUGUCGUGGGGGAUAACGUCGGGAAACUUACGCUAAUACCGCAUACCAUUGGAUGUGCCCAGGUCGGAUUAGCUAGUUGGCGGGGUAACGGCGCACCAAGGCGACGAUCCGUAGCUGGUCUGAGAGGAUGACCAGCCACACUGGAACUGAGACACGGUCCAGACUCCUACGGGAGGCAGCAGUGGGGAAUAUUGCACAAUGGGCGCAAGCCUGAUGCAGCCAUGCCGCGUGUAUGAAGAAGGCCUUCGGGUUGUAAAGUACUUUCAGCGGGGAGGCGUUACCCGCAGAAGAAGCACCGGCUAACUCCGUGCCAGCAGCCGCGGUAAUUC